rnacentral:rRNA from 1 species
UACGUAGGGUGCGAGCGUUAAUCGGAAUUACUGGGCGUAAAGCGUGCGCAGGCGGCUUUGCAAGACAGAUGUGAAAUCCCCGGGCUCAACCUGGGAACUGCAUUUGUGACUGCAAGGCUAGAGUACGGCAGAGGGGGAUGGAAUUCCGCGUGUAGCAGUGAAAUGCGUAGAUAUGCGGAGGAACACCAAUGGCGAAGGCAAUCCCCUGGGCCUGUACUGACGCUCAUGCACGAAAGCGUGGGGAUCAAACAGG